ACGAACGCUGGCGGCGUGCUUAACACCUGCAAGUCGAACGGAAAGGCUCCAGCUUGCUGGAGUACUCGAGUGGCGAACGGGUGAGUAACACGUGGGUAAUCUGCCCUGCACUCUGGGAUAAGCCUGGGAAACUGGGUCUAAUACUGGAUAUGACCUUUCUCCUUAUGGGGUUUGGUGGAAAGUUUUUCGGUGUAGGAUGAGCCCGCGGCCUAUCAGCUUGUUGGUGGGGUGAUGGCCUACCAAGGCGACGACGGGUAGCCGGCCUGAGAGGGUGAUCGGCCAAAUGGGGACGGGGGUACGGCCCAGACCCCUACGGGGGGCAGGGGGGGGGAAUUUGGCCAAAGGGGGGGAAGCCUGAUGCAGGGACGCCGGGUGGGGGAUGACGGCCUUGGGGUUGUAAACCUUUUUCAGCAGGGACGAAGCGUAAGUGACGGUACCUGCAAAAAAAGCACCGGCUAACUAUGU
rnacentral:rRNA from 1 species